rnacentral:rRNA from 1 species
UACGGAGGGUGCAAACGUUGCUCGGAAUCAUUGGGCGUAAAGCGCACGUAGGCGGUCUGUUAAGUCGGAUGUGAAAGCCCUCGGCUCAACCGAGGAAGUGCAUACGAAACUGGCGGACUUGAAUAUGGAAGAGGGUCGCGGAAUUCCCGGUGUAGAGGUGAAAUUCGUAGAUAUCAGGAAGAACACCCGUGGCGAAGGCGGCUCUCUGGAACGCAACUGACGCUGAGACGCGAAAGCGUGGGGAGCAAACAGG